AUGACAAUUAUAUUAAAUUAUUGUGUGCAAAACGUUUACGAAAAAGUACAUCAAAUGUUUUAGUUACAGUCAGUUACUCAAAGAAAUCAGAUUGCAGGUUCUUCAUUGAACAGUUUGUUGCUUUUUUUAAAUUGGAAACCAAGGAAACCAAUCCAUAGAUUCUAUCAUAAAUUUAUAAAAUCUCCUCAUCUUACAGAUUCAAUCUGAUUGAGAUUGAGACUCAUUACCCUCUGAUUGAAAUAAAUACCAAUCUUGAUUUUGGUCUACUAUUGUCUGGUACCUAAUUUUCGUGUAUUACGUAUGUUUGCGCGUUAUCAUGACACCGCCUUUGGUUAUAUUUGGAGCCAUACAGUACGUAUUAGGAGCUAUAAUCAGUAUAAUAGAUCGAACUCGAAGAUGUUCGGUUGUAAUUGAGAACCAUGGUCGUCAUCACGCUCAUUUGUGGUGUGCAUCAAAAAAUGAUCGCAUAGGUGGCAAAGAGGGCAUAUGGCUAGCACCAGGUGAAAGUUUAGGCUGGAGUUUCGGUUGGACACCUACCACUCAAUUUUGGUGCACAAUGGAUUGGUAUGGCCGAAGAUACGGGUGGGAUGUAUACGUUGCGAAUUGGGGAGGUCUAACUGGCCGAUGGCAUAUAAGAGACGAUGGCAUCUAUGAAGGUGGCGGCGAUAAACGUAUGGACAUAGAGUCAAAUCAACCUGUUGGCUAAUACGGCCGAUCAUAUUAUUAAUAGCUAAACAUGCCAAAUAAAUUUUAAACGUUUAUUAACAAAGAUAUAGUAGAUUAUUGAACUGGUCUACUAAAUGCGUUGUAAAACGAAUGUUUUUAUGUUUACAAGAAUAGAAAUUAUAUUCCGAGGAUUUUAAA